rnacentral:misc_RNA from 1 species
GAUGAAGAACGUAGCGAAAUGCGAUAAGUAAUGCGAAUUGCAGAAUCCGUGAGUCAUCGAAUCUUUGAACGCAUAUUGCGCCCUUUGGCAUUCCGAAGGGCAUGCCUGUUCGAGCGUCAUUAUCACCCCUCAAGCCCCGGCUUGGUGUUGGGCCCCCGGUGGUCGUACCCGACCACCCGCCUCAAAGAUAGUGACGGCGUCCCAGAGGGAACCGGUACGAGGAGCUUUCACGAGCAUGUACGCGGGGACGACUCUGUGGGCGACGGUCUUUUUUAACCUUAAUAUAUCAAGUGUUGACUUCGGAUCAGGUAGGAAUACCCGCUGAACUUAAGCAUAUCAAUAAGCGGAGGA